rnacentral:lncRNA from 1 species
CACAGGCUGAAGGGACUUCAUGACCAGAUUACCCACGAGGCCACACCUGACACAAACAUCCCUUUGCUCAGGUCAGCAAUGUUCCUGGGACGUAUUGGAGCCCGUCGGUUAUCUGCUCCUGACAGGUAAAACUGGAUGCUCUCGGAAGUGGUGCAACAAGUUGACAUGUGACUACAGAUUUAAAAUACUUAACAUGUAUGCUUGUGUUCUAUAGUGUUUUGUCGUAUAAAACGACAGAGAAGGACAUAUUUGAAGAUUUGAAAGGUUGCCAGGAUUUGCCACAGUGCCUUCUCCAAAAGGAACAGGACUUCAGAGGUUUUCUGGCACAUGUUGAGGGACAGAAGCUUUAUGAUGUUCUGCUGUCUGCAUCUGAAUUGUCAUCCAACUAUCAAAACAAAGUUCUCCUUAUGAUGGACGAGGAGGCAGAAACGCUACAGAGAGCAGAAGAGGAAUACUUAAAGGACCCUUUGAACUCAAUGAAGGUUGGCCAAGCCUGCCUACGCAAUGACUCAUGCCUCGCGAAGGUUCACAGGGACACAGUAGUGAGGAUAUUUGGUCGGACCUCGGAGAACGGCAGUAGUGUUUCUGAUUAUGAUGGUUCAACACUGGCCACAAUACUGCUUCAGACAGAGCUUAAGACUGCAUCUCUUUUCUCUAUUGAUGGCAACACGAGCAUCUCUUUUCAGAGGAACUUCAUGAGAGUAUUUAAAACGCAUGAACUUAGUGCCGUCUUGGAAACUGACAAACAUGACUACCAGAUACUUGAUCGAGCUGACUUAACUGUCAAGUACACUCCCAAAAUCUCACAGCAAGGAAUGGAUCGCACAACCCAGUAUGAUGCACAGAGCAUCCUAAUAAUGGAAGACAACCCUGUGGUACGAGAAGCUGCCACCUUCCUGUAUGAGAAACACCCCACAGUGAGCUCCGUGUACAUGUUGGAUCAGAACGGUCGUCCCAAAUUAAUCAAAGGAGAUCCCUUACGUUUGUCGCCUGAGAGCCGACUGGUUCUGGUUGGUCACGGAAAGAAAGACAGCGAUGGAGAAAUGAGACUGGCUGGGUACCGGGCAGAGGAAGUGGCUGAGAUCGCCUCGCGAAUGCCAAGGGUGGGAGAGGAGAUUAAAACCACCAGUGUUGUGGCCUGUGAGGUGGGCUCGGAUGAAUCCUUCAUCAGGACAUUGCUGAAGGAGCUCCAUGCCAGGUCUGUCGACACAGAGCUUCAUUUGAGGAGCUCCAUUUUGGAAGUGAGUCACUUAGGAGAGAAGACAACGGUGGAGAUCACACCCAGUGGACUGGUCCGGAGGCAUAAAGAUGACAGCAAUAAAGUCAUAGCUUGGCGGGAUAACAAUGGUGAAAUAACCACCCGAAUUCAGUCAAACAGCAAAGGAAAGGAGAUUUUUUCAAAUGAGAUCAACUUUUUGGGUGGUAGCAACUUACCAGAUAUGCAGCCAAGUAAACCAAUGAGAGUUGUCGAUCAAAAUGUGCGCCAGUCCCACACUGAUGUCCUUGAGGGUUUGGCAUGGGUCUUUUUUGGAAAACCUGAAGCAGUUGGAUUAAAUAAUAUUGAAUAUAUUAAUAAUGAUGAGUACAUUGUGAAGGAUCCAAAAAAUGAAAAGUGGCUUUCCAGCUGGGACCCAAAGAAAAAUAACAACAAAGGUACAAUAAUAUUUGAAGAGAGUCAGAUUAAGGACAUUCUUAAAAACUGCUAUGAGAUUAACUCGAUCAAUGAUGUAAGGAAUAUAAUCAAUCAUUAUGCGAGAUCUGAAGAAAAAGUCUCAUAUCUUAUGUUGCAUGACUGGAUUUUCAAAAUAGAUGAAGCACUCUAUGUAUUUCCUAUUGGGAAACGGCUUAAUAACAAUGAGAAAGGAAAAUUAGCUCAAAUAGAGGAAAUCACAAGAAGUAUUACAGAACAGGUUGGGAAAGAAAGUUAUAGAGAUAUGCGAUCCAAUAUUGGAAAGGGAACUGAAUAUGUUUCGUUUGUCAGAAACAUUCUUAGGGGUUCUGAUGAAUAUAAGUUGAAAAUGUCUAAAUCAACUGAAGCUUGGCGCAGCACAUACUUCUUAGCCUCUAUAGUCUCAGAGUCGAGCAGAAAUUUCCGUGCAUUUCCAAUCAUCUUAAUGGCACUAAGUAUGUGUGAGAAUUUUUACCAUACGGGACUUAAAUAUCUCCUGGACGAAAACCCAAUGGCACAGGGUGGUAGUUGGAUAUCCCCAAAGAAACGAGGAUUUUAUGGGUCAAGCAGGUACGAUAAUAAUGCAGAGCAAAUUAAACUUACGGAUCUAAUUCAGAGGGAAGGUGAAGUUUUUGAAGCCUGGUGGACUCACCAUGGCACAGACACGUUUACCCCAGACAUGAUUGAUACCAACCUGUUGAAGGGAAUGCCUAUCGACUCCCUAGUCACAACAUAUUAUAAAGAUUUUGAAAACGCAAUCAAUCUAGCACCAAACAAAGAGCAAAGUGGGGGUUUCUCUGGAGCCUUAGGAGGAUCAACUGAUGGAGCUGUAACAGCACAGGAUCUGCAUGCAUACGCAAACAUAGAGCAGUCGAUGAAGCUCUCCUCCCAUUACUCUCGUUCCUCCAUCGUUCUGUCUGAAAGGAUUCAAGAUCAUCUGCAAAAGCAGUUAGGAGUGUCACUGGAAGACUUUGUUGUGAAACCCGACAGUAUCAAGGUGAAGGAUGGGGAUUGCAUCUUCGAGGUAAUAUCAAAGAAAAACCCCCACGAGAAGUACAGUUCCAAAGUUCAAUUACCAGAAGAGGGGCAACUUCACAUGGAUACGAUCAGAAAAAGUCUGCAGAGCAUUUCAGAGAUGGAGAUUCCAGAGGCCGGAAAGGUCCAGAAGGGCUCUGGGCACUUGGAACGCACAGGGAUGGCCCUAGGGGUGAUGGGACUCAUGUUGGGGGCCCAGGGGGCUGUGCAGUCCUUUGAGAGAGGGGACAUAGAGCAUGGAGUCGUGGGAACUCUGCAGACAGCUCAUGGAGUCACUGGACUGAGCAUGGCAGUGCUUGGGAAACAAAUGGCAGUCACUAAAAACAUAAAGGUUUUCAGAGUCAUCAACACAAUAUUGAGAAACCCAGUCUCAAAAGUCGCAUUACGAGCAAUGCCAUUGGUUGGAAUCGGAUUUGGAAUAUAUAGCCUUUAUGAAGACUUCAAAAGAGGAGAUACCCUUGGAUACAUUGGUGCUGGAUUUGAUUCUGUCAUGAUAGUACUGGAUGUGAUUGAACUUGCUGUGCCACACCUAGCACCAAUAAUAGCUCCUCUUAACUUGGCCAUCAGUGCCAUACGGAUGCUCUUUGAUGGUGUCUAUUUAAGCAUAGAGUCUGAGUUGAACAGCCUUCCACCAAAUGCUGGAGUGCUGGACAAAAUCGGAGCCUUUUUUCGUGGCUUUGGAAAGGGGGUCCUGCAUUUCGUCUUAGAUCUUGUUAGCUUUUUUUAUACCAUACCCCAUCGUGAGAUCGAGGAAGGACGAAGGCUUGUGCGAGAAAUAUCUGACUACCGGAAAUACUACUCCUUUAGAGAGGUACAGGAUAAAAGAAAAGCUAUUGAUUUCACAGGUGGAGAAAUGUCAAUGAGUGGGGGAGGUAUCACAUUCUGUCUCUCUGACCACGGGUCUUCAGAAUUUUGCAUGGACAAGUUUGUGUCCUCUGAAAGAACCAUUGGUCUAAAAUGUUGGACAAUUGACACAAGUCGUACAAAAGAUAUAAUCCUUGGGAUUGGGGAAUCACACCAAUUACAGUACAGCACCAUACAUCUGAAAGUAUUACUCUUCAUACCAGCUGGCUCCAUAGACGUAGUCUCUGGUUAUAAGGCUAUCCCCAACACCAGAUAUGGAACUUAUAAAGGAAACAAUCUGGACAAUAACUUCUUCGCUGUUCAGACUAAUGAAGAUAACUAUAUUAUGGAGCUAAUGUUCAGCUAUUAUUACAAACUUUAUGGUAAGAAUGGUGAUGACACCUUCUUUUUGGGGCCUCAGAGAAGUUAUGUGGAAGGUCAGGGGGGUAGCGACACCUACAUUAUUCCCACUCAUGGAGGCAGUACCAUCAUUAACAACUAUGACCCUGUGAAAACAAUGGACCUGCUGGUGUUCAACGUUUACUUCCAUCAGUUAUCUGUGAGCAAAUCUGGGAAUGAUGUGGUUUUAAGUUUCUUGAAGAGCCAUAAUGUUAGAAUCAUGAAUUGGUUUGUUGGAGAGGACUACCGUCACAUUAACAUGAUGUCAGAAGAUGGCGUCUCUUUUGACAUUUCAAGUGUUGUGGUAUCCUCUGUCAAGCUAAUUGCUCAGAGUAUAAAUAUGAUGUCUAAAACUCAAGGUCAAACAGUUGACGCGUCCAGACCUCCUCUCCAAACGGUCAUCAAUAUCCUUGGAUCAACCCACAAUGACCAGCUGACAGGAAAUGCAGAGAAUAACUUCAUUGAUGGUGGAGGAGGCAGUGACAGAUUGAGAGGAAUGGAAGCGGAGGAUAUCUACAUGGUUAAAAAGCGAACAAACUCAGCUGUGUCGAUUAUAAACUACUCCAGUGACAACAAAGAGGACAUGAUGAUCCUUGAGGCAAAGAUUCACGACAUCAAAGUCAGGGUGAAUGAUGACCAUUUGAUACUGCUGCCCUUUGCCGAUCAAAGCUCUUCCAUCACUCUGGUGAACUGGUUUCAUUCAGAAGAGUACAGGCACCUGGUCAUUGUCACAGAGGAUUUUAUAACCUUCACUGUUUCAGCAGACCGGUCCUCUUGUAUGAAGCCCAACCCUUUUGCAAAUAAGUGCAUCUUGAUUCAAGUUUUGGAUUACAGCAAAUCUAAAUAUCCUCUUCAGGUAGAUCUGGAAGGGGACGAGGUUUACCAAAGUGUUACAGAAGUGAGAGGGUCAGAUUUGGAUGACAAUAUCAAAGGUAACGGCCGGCAAAAUGUUAUGGUACCAGGGAAAGGCAUUGAUUUUCUUCAGGGACGAGGAGGGGAAGACUGGUACAUUGUUACCCCAGGUUAUGGGAUGAAAACAAUUGACAAUUACUCUCCAGAUCUUUCAGCAGACAAACUGUACAUAAGAGAACAAUAUGAGUUCAUUGAAUGCAAGUGUGAUGGAGACAAUCUGAAAGUGUUAAUAAAUGGCACUCAGCAAGUGUUACUUAAGGGGUGGUUUGUUUCGAUCAUGUCGCAACACCUUCAGAUUCUAUCAUCUGAUGGAGUGACAUUUAAACUACCAUCCAGCAAUAGUAUUUGCCAACUCAUCACUUCACUUACAAACGAUGCAACCUUCCAAAAAGAGAUGGAUUUACAAAUGUUUCACAAGAUGUCUGCUACAAUGGCAAAUGGUGGUAUCAAGCAAUCAACACUUGUAGGACCUUGUUUGUAUGAUGUUGAUGAGACUGACGGAGUCCUGGAGGUGAUGUGUCGUGCUGCACCAGCUACCGUGGUGUUUCGUGGCUCUUUCCCAGGCAGAGAAAAGUUUCAGGAUCACGGCUGUCCUUACGCAGAUCAGCCUUUGUUCUCCUCAGGGUCUAUGUCAAGAACAAAUGAGAUUUACCAAAUGGUAUGCAAGUACACGUUGAACUUAAAGUACCCACGAACAGCAGACAAUAGACUGAAGAAAAGCGCCUCACUCAUGUUUAUGAAUACAAAAGAAUUUGUAUCUGUGUUAGAACUGUUUGGCUCCUCGGGAUUCGAGGAAAUGACUGGGAAUGCAAAAGACAACACACUGGACCCCUACACAGGGGGUGGACUGAUGGCGGGGUUAGAUGGAAAAGACACCUAUGUGGUGAAAUCUGAUUAUGGAACAAAUAUCGAGAUUGAUAACUUUUCGAAGGACAUGAAGGAAGACACGGUUCUCUUCGAGGCUGACUUUUUUAGUGGAUCGAUCACAGUUUUGUCUGAAGGAAACAAUGUAUGGAUCAGCGCCAAGGACAAGGGUCACAACAUAAAGGUCCGUCUGCUUAACUAUCAUCUAGGGGAGCAACACCAACAUCUGUCUUUCCUGACAUCUGAUGGAGUACACUUUCGACUUGAAUAUCUGGAUGAUGCAAACCCUGAGAGUCUGUUGAUCAAGGCUUACAAAAUCAAGCUGGAAGACAAACGAACCGAUUGCCGAAUAGAUCUAAAUGCACACACAAACCUCUCAGCUGUUCACACAGUCCAAGGAUGCUCCCAGCAAUCCAAUAAUUUAGAGGGUAAUGAUCUGGACAAUGCUCUCACAGGUGGCGUGAAGGCUGACGCUAUUAAUGGAGGCCCUGGGCACGACACGUUGAUGGGGGGCCAAGGAGAAGACAUCCUCCUAGGGGGCAGUGGCGACGACACCCUCUACGGAGAAGAAGGAGAUGACACCAUGAUGGGUGGGCUCGGCUCCGAUGCCUUCAUCCCAGGACCAGGGGCAGACUUAGUGGACGGCGGUGCAGGAAGAGACACAGUGUUUUACCAGGGCGACCACAACAGAGGCGAGGGGGUCUACGUCAACCUGCUUACUGGUGAGUGCCGGCAAGCUGACGCAGAGGGGGACGUGUUGAAAGACGUUGAGAACGUGGUUGGCACCAUCUACUCCGACAUACUGGUCUCAGGCUACGAGCCAGCUCUCCUCAAGGGAUCAGACGGCAAUGAUGUCCUCGUGUCUCAAGCAGGAGGGGACUACUUAAUUGGUGGAGACGGAAGUGACGUGUACAUGAUGGUUUUCCCCAGAGGCACCGUUGUCCUUGACAACUGCGCCAACGACAACGCCACGGAUGUCCUGUACCUCCGUUCCAUGUCUGCGGACUCUGUCCACUGCACACAGACAAACACCAGCAUGACUCUGUCAUUUAAGGACCAAGCCAAGGCCGUAGAGGUGGAACUGAAAGACUGGUUCAGCAGCAGUGACACAUGUAGGCAUCUGCAGCUUAUCCUGAGGGAAGGCCAAACUUCUGUAGAAAAGCUUCAGGAAAAAUGCAAAGCUAAUGGUAGAGAGCAAAAGUAAAGCUUGUGUUUGUAUGUUCUUGGUAUGCACAACUUCUGUAUUAAUUUGGCAUGCUUUUAAUGCUCUUUGCACAAAUCACAUUUUUUAUAUUUCAUUAUAAUUUUACUCAGACACGUGAAAUUGUCUUUGUGUGUUCUUGGUAUGCACAACUUCUGUAUUAAUUUGGCAUGCUUUUAAUAUUCUCUUUCUACAAAUCAUGUUUGUUUUAUUCCAUUAUUGUUUUACUCAGAGACGUGAAAUCGUUUUUGUAUGCAGGUAAUUGCCACGUUUUGCUUUGAAAUCCAACAUUAUAAUUGGGUGGAUGGAAGUAAUGAAAUUAUUUUGCUACUUUGGAUAUUGUAUAAUUGCAUAUCUGUAAUAUUUUCAAAUAAAAAAGUCCUCAUCCAGCGCA